GGAGGGGUGGUCGAGUGGACAAAGGCAACGGGCUGUAAACCCGUCGCCCUUCGGGGCUACGCAGGUUCGAAUCCUGCCCCCUCCA
rnacentral:tRNA from 2 species